CUUUAGUGCAAUUUUUCCUUAUUUGUUUGUUUUGUUUUUUUUUUUAAGUAAAUAGCUAGGCUUCUAAGCCCUACCACAGAGAGUCAACAGACAAACUGCCCAGGGAAAAGUUAUGACCUCAGGCAAAGUGAAUUUCUACAGCUAAGGCAGAUCCUGAAGAAGCUCACAAAUAAAGGCUGCAUACUCACACAUUCCCUGAAGCUUGACAGUGCCAGCCACCAUACUGUGAGGGAGCUGAAGUAAGCCCACAUGAGGAAGAAUUGAGGUCCCAAGCCAACAGCUGCAGCUAAGAUCCAAGCUCUCAACCAGUACCAGUUCAUCCGUUAUGCACACUAAGAUAUGGAAGCUAAAAGAGGACUAAGAGGAUUCUGGGGAUAUUACAAGAUAUUGCAGACUAUCUUGUUUUCCUGGAAAAGGAUUUUACCUCAGUCGACUGAAUUACUUUUUUCACUGUGUCUUGCCACUCUUCGUGCAUGCAUCAAAGACCCUAAUAUGACUUCUGGUGGCCUGGGACUCCUUGGGAAAACAGAAAAGGGGCCACAAAUCCCAUUUUGGGAACAAUCUGUUUUACUCAUGGAACCCCUGGAAUUAGAGAAACCAUCAAGCUUUAAAUGGUGUGGCAAAAGGAGCUGAAAAUUAAACUGACCUUCUACUGCAU
rnacentral:lncRNA from 1 species